rnacentral:tRNA from 1 species
GCCUUCGUAGUGUAGUGGUCAGCACGCUCGACGCGUAACCGAGAGGUCCGUGGUUCGAUUCCCGGCGAAGACG